UACAGAGGGUGCGAGCGUUAAUCGGAAUUACUGGGCGUAAAGCGCACGUAGGUGGCGACGUAAGUCGGGUGUGAAAGCCCCGGGCUCAACCUGGGAAUUGCAUUCGAGACUGCAUUGCUGGAGUACGGAAGAGGAAGGCGGAAUUCCCGGUGUAGCGGUGAAAUGCGUAGAGAUCGGAAGGAACGCCGGUGGCGAAAGCGGCGGACUGGGCACCUCCUGACGCUGAGGCGCGAAAGCCAGGGGAGCAAACGGG
rnacentral:rRNA from 1 species